GGGCGCUUAGCUCAGUUGGGAGAGCAUCGCCCUUACAAGGCGAGGGUCAGUGGUUCGAGCCCACUAGCGCCCACCA
rnacentral:tRNA from 4 species